GGGACUAAAACAUUCCAAAUGUCUGGCUUUGAGUCUCUGUUAGAAGAUAGAAGAAGAAAUAUCUUGUUGCGUGUUGCGAUAUCAUAACAUCGAUGGCCUCCAUCAUCCAAAUCUCACAAUGUCGUCAACUCUUCUCCCAGUGACAGCAACUCCCAUUUUCACUCUCACCAAAACCCUCCCUCUCCCCAAACCCUACCUACUCUCCUAUAAAUUCAAAUUCAACACCCUCGUCCGCCGCUGCUCCCUCUCCGACCACGAGGAGCAGCGCUGGCUCCGCGAAGAGCAGCGCUGGCUCCGCGACGAACACCGCUGGCUCCGUGAGGAGCAGCGCUGGGCUCGCGAGCGCGACCAACUCCUCCGCGAGAUCGCCGACCUCAAGCUCCAAAUCCAGGCGCUGGAGCGUCGCCUCUUGACGCGCGAUUUGUCCUCUCCGGCUUCCAUCUCCGACGCCGUCGCCAAUGUCACGUUGCUCUUGCAGGUGCUCAAGGACAAAAAUCUGGUUCUCGAGAGCGGUUCGAGCCUGCGGAACACGGAGGAGGUGAAGCAAUUGGAAGAGGUCGUCGAGCAUGUGAAGGAGGUUGUGGUGGUUGAGGAAUCUGCUAGGGUUGAAAAGAGGAUCUCGUUGCGGAUAGGUUCCGAAGGUGAAGAGGUUCGACAGAUGCAGGAAGCAUUGUUGAAAUUGGGGUUUUACUCUGGCGAGGAAGACAUGGAGUAUUCCAGCUUCUCAAGUGGAACCGAGCGUGCUGUGAAGACUUGGCAAGCUGCAUUAGGUGCUCCUGAGGAUGGUAUCAUGACAGCUGAACUUCUUGAAAGGUUGUAUUUGGAGAUAAGGAAUAAGGACACCGGCAGUGCGACUCAAGACAAACAAUCUACUACUGUUUUGCCAAAGGAAGUUGAAAAUGGAGCUGCAGUUGCUUCAGUGGCAGAAAAUUCAGAGGGUCAGCAAAAAGAUGUGAAAAGUGAUAAGGGAACAGAAGUCUCCCACCGGGGAGUUUUUCUCCUUGGAGAGAAUCGGUGGGAAGAACCAUCAAGACUUUUCACAAGGAAUGGAGUUGAUAGGAGCAAGAACAAGGAUGUAACGACAAAAUGCCUUCAAUGUCGUGGGGAAGGUCGCUUGCUGUGUACAGAAUGUGAUGGAUCUGGCGAGCCAAAUAUUGAACCUCAAUUUUUGGAAUGGGUGGACGAGGGUACAAAAUGCCCAUAUUGUGAAGGCCUAGGGUAUACUGUAUGUGAUCUAUGUGGAGGGAAAACAAUGGUAUAGGAACUUAAUAUUUGAGAGAUUUUUAACUUUCAAGGCUUUGGAGCUUACAGAGCUACGUGAAAAUCUGCAGAGAAACCUCAAAUUACAACAUAGAACGGUGCAUGCAUUUUUAACCUUCAAAAUGAAUGAGAUGCUUCACUGACAGAGACUGUCAUCUUUGAAUUCUAUUUGGCCAUAAGCCAAAAUAGUAAGGCCAAAGAUGACAGGUUCGAGGACUGCACAAAGGCUUUUAUACAAGGGUUGUUGAAGUGUGAGCAGUUUCAAAAAUCCUUCGAGUGAACUCGAAAUAAAGGUGUGGUAGGAUCGAGCUCAAUCAAAUACUUGGCACUAGACCUAUAUCUUAAUGGCUUCUUUAUUUGAGGGACUUGGAGAUUAAGGAGUUUUAGAUACACAUGACAAAAUGAGUAAAAUGAGAUGGUCAGUGAAUUAAAAAUAUGCGCGAACUCACGAAUUUUUAAGUGUCAUUAUAAUUUUAUUUUCCACAUGCCGAUCUAAUUAACUUUUCACUCAUUUAGAAAAUGUUAACUUUCCCCAUCAA